CUCUCGGUAGCUUUGUUGUUAAAGCACUUUUCUAGCGUAUAGGCGUUGUGAAUUCAAAUCUCACCUGAGACG
rnacentral:tRNA from 1 species